AUGGCAGCAGGGACAGCGGGGAGAGCCCGAGCGGCGGGGACAGCGGGGACGCUCUGCCGGCCGCCCCGAGCUGCGCUCCUGCCGCAGCGGCCAGCGCGGAACGGGAAGUGGGAGGGUUCAGCGCCGAGAGCUUUAAAUGCGGCGUGGGGCGGCCCGGGAGCGUGCGAGAUCUGCCACAGGUCGCACAGCAAGGAUGCUCAGAGAAGCCACCUCUACCUGGCCAAGCCAUGCCCAGGGACACGAGGGGGACAGGAGGGGUUCAGGGCACAGAUGCACCACCCUACCCCAGGUGAUGCUCUCCAGACUCACAGCUCUCUCCAGUCCCAGGAAGGUAAAACACAGCAACCACUAGGAGAAAUACAAGGUGCAACAACCCCAGGGCUCAGUCCGAUGAGCCACAGAAUGAUUGCAGAGGGCAAUCCCUCUCAGUCCCUGAUGCCACCCAUACCCUCAAGGACACAGUUUCACUGCUUUCACACCCCCUGGGCUGUGCUCCCAGCAGGACGCACGUCCCGCUGCUGCCAGGCACCCGCUAGUGUGGGAAAAGCGGAUCCAAACACGGAGCCUCACACUCCAAACACCAUCUGCCUCCCAUCGCUGCACCGCCAGCGCCGCCGGCAGCCGGGGACCCGCCAGCACAGGGGACGAGUCAUCCACACAGCCUCGAGCAGCAAUUCCAACAGUGCACCCAGUUUAGCAGGGCAGCAGUCGGUGCCCGGCGGGGCUGGCAGAGCACUGAACACUCCUUGUGUGACACACGAGGGUCACCCCCACAGCACAGCCCUUGGCACCAAGCCAGCUAGAACACACCAGGCAGGUGAUCCUGGCUCCUGGGUGGAUUUUCCAGCUGGAACACACCAGGCAAACACCUCCUAAGGAAGCUCCCCAACUUCCACAUGCCGCUCCUCUUGCAGACCCUUGCACAGAAGGAGGGGCACCAACCCAGCCUGUGACAGCCGCAGGCAGGCACAGCCCCCAGCUGCAGCCACACUGCACAAUAAAUAAUUCCCCAGCAAAAACA
rnacentral:lncRNA from 1 species